AGCGAGGGGGGGGGGGGGGGCGAGAGAGGGGGAAGAGAGAGAAAGAGAGAGAGAGGCCUCCUACAGUGUCAGUGUUCCAGGUUUUGUGUCUCUGUCUUUCUCUCGAGGCUGGUCUUGCUGUCAGAUGCUUCCAGAUGCCGGUCGGAUCCGUCAGACCUCCACAGCAUCAAAAAGCUGGGACAGGAUAACAAUGCCUACGAUGUUACAGACGAACCGACUUCCUACAUGACCAUGACUACGUCUCCGAAGGAUGACCAAGCUAAGAACAAGGCCCGAACACACCGGCCAUUUCGAACAUCGGUUUCUUUCAGCUGGU